CAGUUGGUCUCACCAGAAUGCUUAUUUAAGACUACCUGUUUUGCAUUUUUUCCUUUGUGUCAGUGACAUCAUCAGCCAGAAUCUACAACCUUUAGAAGGGUUGCUACAGUUGUGAGGCUGCUUAGUAAUGACGUCACUGUGCUUUGUUCUGAGAAAUUAAUCUUAAAAGGGAAUGCAUCCUUUAUAAGGUCACUGUGGUUGUGCAAAUUUAGUAUUCAAGGAGCUUCCUUUCUUCUCUAAGGGUAUUAGAAGGAGUCACAUAAUUAAUGGGGCACUGCUUCAUCACACAAAUUAAAGUGAUAUAGUCACACAAAAAGUAUGCUAAGUCCCGUCACAUAUGACAUGAUGACCUGCUAAUGUGUUUAAAAUAAUUAGCGUGAGAUAUUAGUAGCUGCAGUAGAUAAGAAAUGAAUUUUUUAAGGUACAAAAGUUACUGUGUAAAUAUACUGAUCAAAAUUUGAUUCCUUGCAUUCAAGGUGAUCUUUGGAACAAAUAUGGAAAAAAAAAUCAGUUGUAAUUUUUCUGUAAACAAAAGAAACAAAAACUGCAUUUGGAGAUCAUCUCUUUUGGUAUGGUACCUAUCCUCAUUUUGCAACCUGACACUGUUAUUGUUAUUAAUAUAGGGCUUACUACAAAGUUCUAUCUCCAGCUUUUAUUAUACUCUACAGGUUUCCUUGGGAUUUUACUUGAAAAAGAAGAGGAAACACAAGUGUGUAGCAAUUCAGUGUUUAUACAGUAGGGUUUUUAUGUAACCUCCGCCACCUAGCGGACUACAUGGGAACUCAUGAAAAAUAAUUUCUCCAUGCACCCUCUAAGACAAGUGUUCACAGCUUCUCAUAUCUUCAAGAGAUUUCAUGUCCUUUGCUUUUGUUCAAAUUUUUCAUCCUUAUUCAAUUUCCAUAGGAAUAUGAAGGCUAUCCAGAGGAAAUAACUGCCUUUUGGAAAAGCCUUCUGAAUACUAAAAGAUGUUCUUCAUUCAGAGUCCUUAAUAAUGAUAAGAUGAGCCGGGAGCAGUGGGUCAAGCCUGUAAUCCCAGCAUUUUGGGGGGCCAAGCUCUCCAAUAGCCUUGAAAACCAACAGCACUGCCAUAAUGGUGAGAAACAGCAGCCUUGAAGCUACUAGACAGGGCAAAGCUGGUUUGGAGCUCCCCAAAAACACUAUUCUCAGAGCACUGUCAUUAUUUGACCUGUCUGGCAUAUUCCUGCAACCUCCAUUGGCAAGACUUGCCUGUAUUUGAUCUUAUUCAGAACUUGCUCAUUGCAAACAACCUUUUUGGAGGGGAGGAGGUGGAAAACAAUAAGCACCAAUUAUUUAACAUUGCCACUGCCUGAGGAGAUGAUAAUGGUGGAACAAACAAGAAACUGACCAAUACACUUAAAGGAAAAGCUGAAUAACGAAAUGUCAAUAGGGGGCUCUGAAAAACUCCAACAUAUUCCUGAAACUCUAGAAAGCCAUGCAGAAGCACACAGAAGGCUGUAUACACGCCAAAGGCCACUUGAAGACCUAGGAAAGAUCUAAGAAGUACCUAAUAUCUCACCUAAGACUGACCUUGAAGCUCUGUGAGAGCAAGAAGUGAAGGCUAAGGCAGAGUUGCAAACUGCCAGGCUAAAUAUUGAAGGUCUGGUGAAACACAUGCACAAAGCCCAUCAGUGAAGGAUAAGAGACCUACUGAUUCCAGACAUUUAAGGAAAUCUCUAUCCAAUCAUUAGCUGACCAUUAAGCUAAACAAGCAGAGAUUUUAAUGGCCACACAUGACAAAGAAUACAGGUUUUACAAAUGCAUUCAGGAAAGUCAGUAAACAAACUGAUAGCAAACACAAUAACAAGCAGCAGCAACAAACCCCGAGGGGGUGAGUGACAUUUCCAGAGUUGCCAUAUUAUUUAAAAUGUUAAAUAUCUCCCAAAAAAUGAUAAAAUUUUAAAGAUAAAUAAAUAAAAUGUU
rnacentral:lncRNA from 1 species